CCCUUAGAUGUCCUGGGCCGCACGCGCGUUACACUGAUGCAUUCAACGAGCUUAUAACCUUGGCCGAGAGGCCUGGGCAAUCUUGUUAACGUGCAUCGUGAUAGGGAUAGACUAUUGAAAUUAUUAAUCUUGAACGAGGAAUUCCUAGUAAACGCAGAUCAUCAAUCUGCAUUGAUUACGUCCCUGCCCUUUGUACACACCGCCCGUCGCACCUACCGAUUGGAUGGUCCGGUGAAGCCUCGGGAUUGUGGUUCUUGCCGCUUUAUUGUGGCGUGACCGCGAGAACUUGUCUAAACCUUAUCAUCUAGAGGAAGGUGAAGUCGUAACA
rnacentral:rRNA from 1 species